UACGUAGGGUGCAAGCGUUGUCCGGAAUUACUGGGCGUAAAGCGCGCGCAGGCGGCUCUUUAAGUCUGACGGUGAAAUGCCGGGGCUCAACCCCGUGCCCGCCGCGGAUACUGGAGGGCUGGAGACACGUAGAGGCAAGCGGAAUUCCGGGUGUAGCGGUGGAAUGCGUAGAGAUCCGGAAGAACACCGGAGGCGAAGGCGGCUUGCUGGGCGUAGUCUGACGCUGAGGCGCGAAAGCGUGGGGAGCGAACAGG
rnacentral:rRNA from 1 species